UACAGAGACUGCAAGCGUUAUUCGGAUUCACUGGGCGUAAAGGGUGCGCAGGCGGCCGUGUGUGUGAGGCGUGAAAGCCUGGAGCUUAACUCCAGAAUUGCAUCUCAAACUACACGGCUAGAGCAUUGGAGAGGGUAGCAGAAUUCACGGUGUAGCAGUGAAAUGCGUAGAUAUCGUGAGGAAUACCAGAGGCGAAGGCGGCUACCUGGACAAUUGCUGACGCUCAGGCACGAAAGCGUGGGGAGCGAACAGG
rnacentral:rRNA from 1 species